rnacentral:tRNA from 1 species
GCUUCUGUAGUGUAGCGGUUAUCACUCAAGAUUCUGAUAUGUGAAUUCUUGAAACCCAGGUUCGAUUCCUGGCAGGAGCU